GUCUGGAAAGGCGCGCGAUACAGGGUGACAGCCCCGUACACAAAAAUGCACAUGCUGUGAGCUCGAUGAGUAGGGCGGGACACGUGGUAUCCUGUCUGAAUAUGGGGGGACCAUCCUCCAAGGCUAAAUACUCCUGACUGACCGAUAGUGAACCAGUACCGUGAGGGAAAGGCGAAAAGAACCCCGGCGAGGGGAGUGAAAAAGAACCUGAAACCGUGUACGUACAAGCAGUGGGAGCCUCUUUAUGGGGUGACUGCGUACCUUUUGUAUAAUGGGUCAGCGACUUAUAUUCUGUAGCAAGGUUAACCGAAUAGGGGAGCCGAAGGGAAACCGAGUCUUAACUGGGCGUUAAGUUGCAGGGUAUAGACCCGAAACCCGGUGAUCUAGCCAUGGGCAGGUUGAAGGUUGGGUAACACUAACUGGAGGACCGAACCGACUAAUGUUGAAAAAUUAGCGGAUGACUUGUGGCUGGGGGUGAAAGGCCAAUCAAACCGGGAGAUAGCUGGUUCUCCCCGAAAGCUAUUUAGGUAGCGCCUCGUGAAUUCAUCUCCGGGGGUAGA
rnacentral:rRNA from 1 species